UGGCCCUCUCUGGGGCAAGCAGAACUUUAUCUUGAUGUGAAUUAAGCCUCAGAUGCUGAAGAUGAUAUCAAUAAGUUAAAAAAGGACAAGCUUGGCAUUCAGAAGUAUUGUGUAGAAGAGACAGAGGCACACUUGCUUCAGAGCCGGGGAUUAGGAAAUCUGCUUCUCCUGGGCUGCAUCCUCCAGCCACUGUUACUAGACCUGCAGCAGUUUGCAUGGAGCACCUGCAGAGAUGACCCAGUGACUCUGAGACAAGGAACCUGGCUCUGCAAUAUCUAUCACUACAGACCUUCCACUGAGGGGUUCUCUCUUUAGAAGCAAGGAAGAGUCAUCUCUACGUAAAGGGAAUAUCUCCAAAGGUGAAAGAUGCCUCAGGAAAGUACAUGUCAUUCUUGAAAGAGGUUACUAUCCAUUAGCCCUUCAGACUGCAGGAGGACUGAGACCAGGGCUAAGUGACUAGGAAAAAUCAGAACACAAUGAAAUCUUGAAAAGAGUUGUUCUGCUGAUGGAGGCUAAGACCAGCACAGAUACACCCUACCUCCA